UACGUAGGGACCAAGCGUUGUUCGGAUUUACUGGGCGUAAAGGGCGCGUAGGCGGCGCGGUAAGUCACUUGUGAAAUCUCUGAGCUUAACUCAGAACGGCCAAGUGAUACUGCAGUGCUAGAGUGUGGAAGGGGCAAUCGGAAUUCUUGGUGUAGCGGUGAAAUGCGUAGAUAUCAAGAGGAACACCUGAGGUGAAGACGGGUGCUGGGUCAACACUGACGCUGAUGCGCGAAAGCCAGGGGAGCAAACGGG
rnacentral:rRNA from 1 species